rnacentral:rRNA from 1 species
GAUGAACGCUGGCGGCGUGCCUAACACAUGCAAGUCGAGCGAAGCGCUUAAAUUAGAUUUCUUCGGUAUGACGAUUUUUGUGACUGAGCGGCGGACGGGUGAGUAACGCGUGGGUAACCUGCCUCAUACAGGGGGAUAACAGUUAGAAAUGACUGCUAAUACCGCAUAAGACCCCAGCUUCGCAUGAAGCGGUGGUAAAAACUCCGGUGGUAUGAGAUGGACCCGCGUCUGAUUAGCUAGUUGGUAAGGUAACGGCUUACCAAGGCGACGAUCAGUAGCCGACCUGAGAGGGUGACCGGCCACAUUGGGACUGAGACACGGCCCAGACUCCUACGGGAGGCAGCAGUGGGGAAUAUUGCACAAUGGGGGAAACCCUGAUGCAGCGACGCCGCGUGAAGGAUGAAGUAUUUCGGUAUGUAAACUUCUAUCAGCAGGGAAGAAAGUGACGGUACCUGACUAAGAAGCCCCGGCUAACUACGUG